CCUGUCUGAAACACGACAUGUACACAGAGGUAGUACUUACCUAAAAAUAACAUUACAAGAUAAACUUGAAGGAAGAAGGAGAAUCUGACUUUCAUCCUCAAUGGAUAUGGCAAAGUAAAACUGAACCUUCCUGACUCGUUGAAUACUGGAAUAGACUGGAUCACUGCGACAGCUGAAAACAGAGAGUGAUAAGCAAAUGGAAGGAGGCUGCAGCAUCAGCACCCGGCACCUCAGGCCUCACAGCGCCAGCCUGAGCUGCAGGAGAUGUUUCCUCCCCCAAGUACAGAAAGCUCCCAGACUUCUCCCACUGCCUCUAGGCUGUCAGCAGACUGCUGAGAACAGCUCAGCACUGGCUUCUGCUUCCUCACCUAUAGAAUGGGGGGCUUGGGGGAGGCUCCUGCCCGAUCUACUGGGUAGGGGGUUGUCAUAAUAAAAUGAAGUUACUAAUAAACUCUCUCAUUGG
rnacentral:lncRNA from 1 species